AAGUCGUAACAAGGUUUCCGUAGGUGAACCUGCGGAAGGAUCAUUAACAUUUGUAUUUGAUUGUGGGUGGUGGUGUUUGUUGUUGUGUGUUUUUGCAUGCAACUCAUCAUCAUCUCAACCCCAUUGUGUGCAUGUUUUGUGUGUGUGUGUGUGUGCGAGUAGUUGAAGAGAGGUCUUGUACCUCACUUUUACCUCACUCUCUCACUACACUCCACUUCUUUCACUUUCACACCCAAACCCCUUCCUUCUUCUCAUCACACUAGACUGACUUUACACCUCGUUUUACUCAGGCUCAACUGAGCAAAACAUCAAUCAGCAUACAACUCUUAGCAACGGAUAUCUAGGCUCUC
rnacentral:misc_RNA from 1 species